UACGAAGGGGGCUAGCGUUGUUCGGAAUUACUGGGCGUAAAGCGCACGUAGGCGGGUCGUUAAGUCAGGGGUGAAAUCCUGGAGCUCAACUCCAGAACUGCCCUUGAUACUGGCGAUCUCGAGUUCGGGAGAGGUGAGUGGAACUGCGAGUGUAGAGGUGAAAUUCGUAGAUAUUCGCAAGAACACCAGUGGCGAAGGCGGCUCACUGGCCCGAUACUGACGCUGAGGCACGAAAGCGUGGGGAGCAAACAGG
rnacentral:rRNA from 1 species